CUCAGCCAGUGUGCCCAGGGUGAAUGCCCAGGGCCUGAGGGGAGCGGCCCUGCUCAGCCAGUGUGCCCAGGAUGAAUGCCCACGAGUAUGCCAGGUUCUCCUCUGACACCACCUUGCAGCCCAGACGCCCCGCAGACUGAAGGAGAAAUGUGAGGCUCCUCCUUGCACGCACUCUGUCUUUAUUAAAUUUUACGACAGCAUCGUUGCUGUCAGAUGCUGCCAGCAGUGGAGACAGAGCAUUCAUUACUUUAGAUGCCCUCAAAGGACAUCAGGUAAGGGGACCCCAAUGUCCCCUACGCAGGGAUAGAAAGCAAGGAAAGGAUGGAAAUCCCUUCUUGAUAACAGGUCUAGGCCAAAAGGAAGACAGGCUUGAGACUGGAUCUCAGAUCACAUUGGUACUGUCAAUUCAGGGGUGAGGUGCCCGGGGUGGUCCACAAAGCCUCACAACCUGCAAAGCUCCCACAUAUGUGAGAGCCCACCAUACG
rnacentral:lncRNA from 1 species